GACGAACGCUGGCGGCGUGCUUAACACAUGCAAGUCGAGCGAGUGGAUUCCCUUCGGGGAUGAAGCUAGCGGCGGACGGGUGAGUAACACGUGGGCAACCUGCCUUAUAGAGGGGGAUAGCCUUCCGAAAGGAAGAUUAAUACCGCAUAACAUCAGAUUAUCGCAUGGUAGACUGAUCAAAGGAGCAAUCCACGAUAAGAUGGGCCGGAGUCGCAUUAGGUAGGUGGUGAGGUAACGGCUCCCCAAGGCGACGAUGCGUAGCCGACCUGAGAGGGUGAUCGGCCACAUUGGGACUGAGACACGGCCCAGACUCCUACGGGAGGCAGCAGUGGGGAAUAUUGCACAAUGGGGGAAACCCUGAUGCAGCAACGCCGCGUGAGUGAUGAAGGCCUUCGGGUUGUAAAGCUCUUUGAUCAGGGACGAUAAUGACGGUACCUGAAGAACAAGCCACGGCUAACUACGUGCCAGCAGCCGCUGUAACAC
rnacentral:rRNA from 1 species